CCUACGGGUGGCUGCAGUGGGGAAUAUUGGACAAUGGGCGAAAGCCUGAUCCAGCCAUGCCGCGUGUGUGAAGAAGGCCUUCGGGUUGUAAAGCACUUUCAGUGGGGAAGAAAGCCUUGGGGCUAAUACCCUCGAGGAAGGACAUCACCCACAGAAGAAGCACCGGCUAACUCCGUGCCAGCAGCCGCGGUAAUACGGAGGGUGCGAGCGUUAAUCAGAAUUACUGGGCGUAAAGCGCGCGUAGGCGGUCUGAUAAGCCGGUUGUGAAAGCCCCGGGCUCAACCUGGGAACGGCAUCCGGAACUGUCAGGCUAGAGUGCAGGAGAGGAAGGUAGAAUUCCCGGUGUAGCGGUGAAAUGCGUAGAGAUCGGGAGGAAUACCAGUGGCGAAGGCGGCCUUCUGGACUGACACUGACGCUGAGGUGCGAAAGCGUGGGUAGCAAACAGGAUUAGAUACCCCUGUAGUC
rnacentral:rRNA from 1 species